CUCUAUGCUGUCAUGGAACCUUCUGCCUGACUUUGAUGUCACACUUUCAUCUGAGCCCUCUGAUCCAGUGCCUAACCUCCAUCCCAUCUGUGACAUCAUCUACCGUCCUUCUGAACUUCAUACAUGCAUGCUUGAAACGGACCCCUAAUGCUAGGCUAAAGCCUGACACACAGGCUGGGCCUCCCUUAAGCUAGCCUCUAGACCAUGGUGACAGUUUCCUCCUGAUCUGAAGAGAAACCUUUCUUCCGUACACGUAACCCACUGAAAAAAGCAGGAAGCUGAAAGGUCUUCUCAUUCAAAGAUGGUUUUUGGAUGGGUGCCGUGCUGGAAUUGCUUGCAAGAGGUCCUUGCUCAUCUGCAAACCCCUGAGUAUCUUCUCCUGUGAGAGACAGGCCUGUAUGGUUCUCAUUGAACAGCUGGUACUUGCAGUUUGCUACUUCCUCAUGCCGGCCCGAGAAUCAAGGGAAAAAAUCGUCAGCAGAAAAACUCCUCAAAAGUUUCUUGAAAGGCACCCCAUGGUGGUCAAAAGCUGCUUUGAGCAAAGUCGUCGAAGGAAGGCAAGAUCAGAAAGCUGGAAAAUCCCAAGCAGAAAGAAAUGUUUCCAAAUCUUCACACACACACACAAACGAGCCUUCUUUUAACUUCUGGAGAUUCCUAGUUGCUGAGAAGUCCCAGUUAACGUUGGUGCCCUUGAAGCUGAAUAAUCAUAAUAAAAAAAAAAGAAAGCACCACUCUUCCGCUUUUGCUUCAGGUUUCUGUCUGGAAUGCAGAUUCCAGCCAAGGAGCACCAACCAACGAGGCUGGUUUCGUGUUGCUGCGUCUUAAACUCUGCACAGCUCUUUCUGCGGACCAUAAACAGUCUAGGAGAGGGGAAAAAGAAAAGCACACGGGAAGAAGUCCCAGAGGGGGAGCUGGGUUACUCCGCGGCAGCAAAAACAGAUGAAAUCUUCUGGAGGACAGAUGUGUCACGUUUUACUGCCAGAGGAAGGCAAAGCACAUCAUCAUUUACACACGCAAAAAGGCUUCGUCAGAAGUAGCCCAAAUGAAUUAUGCAUCUGGUUUAAAGUAACCUAAUGCUUGGUUUUCCAGAAUCACUGCGACAUUUCCUCAACGAGAGGAAUUAAGGCAUGCUGUUGUUGUGUGCAACGGUAUUUAUUAACGAAAAGUUCAUAGCAUUGAAGAGUGCAAUCCAACUGUCGCUGGUUCAUCAACUGGGGGGAGGGGGGGUGCUGGCAUUAGGAUGAGACAGAAGACUCCCAAUGCCACCUGAAGUGGAGAAAUACUGCCUUAACUGAACACACACGUGUAAAUGCCUGGGAAAGGUUCUGCAGGUGGCGUUCCACCCAUAGAUACCUAAAA